GACGAACGCUGGCGGCGUGCUUAACACAUGCAAGUCGAACGGUGAAGCGCUUGCCUUUUUGGUGGGUGUGGAUGAGUGGCGAACGGGUGAGUAACACGUGAGUAACCUGCCCUCUUCUUCUGGAUAACCUCAUGAAAGUGGGGCUAAUACGGGGUAUUCCGGGUCUGUCGCAUGGCGGGUUUGGGAAAGAUUGCGCCUUUGGGUGUUUUCGGUGGGGGAUGGGCUCGCGGCCUAUCAGCUUGUUGGUGGGGUGAUGGCCUACCAAGGCGGUGACGGGUAGCCGGCCUGAGAGGGUGGACGGCCAAACUGGGACUGAGACACGGCCCAGACUCCUGCGGGAGGCAGCAGUGGGGAAUAUGGCACAAUGGGCGCAAGCCUGAUGCAGCGACGCCGCGUGAGGGAUGGAGGCCUUCGGGUUGUGAACCUCUUUCGCCAGUGAAGCAGGCCUGCUCCUGUGUGGGUGGGUUGACGGUAGCUGGAGAAGAAGCGCCGGCUAACUACGUG
rnacentral:rRNA from 1 species